GCGGAUCUCGAAAGCCUGUCCCAGUUCGGACUGGAGUCUGCAACCCGACUCCACGAAGUUGGAUUCGCUAGUAAUCGCGCAUCAGCCAUGGCGCGGUGAAUACGUUCCCGGGCCUUGUACACACCGCCCGUCAAGCCAUGGGAGGCCGGGGGCGCCUGAAGUCCGGGACCGCGAGGACCGGCCUAGGGCGAAACUGGUAACUGGGGCUAAGUCGUAACAAGGUACC
rnacentral:rRNA from 1 species